rnacentral:rRNA from 1 species
GACGGAGGAUGCAAGCGUUAUCCGGAAUUAUUGGGCGUAAAGCGUCCGCAGGUGGCAGUUCAAGUCGGGUGUGAAAUCCCCAGGCUUAACCUGGGAACUGCAUUCGAGACUGCAUUGCUAGAGUAUGGGAGAGGGAAGUGGAAUUUCCGGUGUAGCGGUGAAAUGCGUAGAUAUCGGAAGGAACAUCAGUGGCGAAAGCGACUUCCUGGACCAAUACUGACGCUCAUGUGCGAAAGCGUGGGGAGCAAACAGG